GAUGAACGCUGGCGGCGUGCCUAAUACAUGCAAGUCGAGCGAACAGACGAGGAGCUUGCUCCUCUGACGUUAGCGGAGGACGGGUGAGUAACGCGUGGAUAACCUACCUAUAAGACUGGGAUAACUUCGGGAAACCGGAGCUAAUACCGGAGAAUAUAUUGAACCGCAUGGUUCAAUAGUGAAAGACGGUUUUGCUGUCACGUAUAGAUGGAUCCGCGCCGCAUUAGCGAGUUGGUAAGGUAACGGCUUACCAAGGCUACGAUGGGUAGCCGACCUGAGAGGGUGACCGGCCACAUUGGAACUGCGCUAGGCGCCCGACUCCUACGGUAGGCAGCAGUGGGGAAUAUUGCACACUGGGCGGAAGCCUGAUGCAGCAACGCCGCGUGCGGGAUGCCGCCCUUCGGGUUGUAAACCGCUUUCGCCUGUGACGAAGCGUGAGUGACGGUAAUGGGUAAAGAAGCACCGGCUAACUACGUG
rnacentral:rRNA from 1 species